rnacentral:rRNA from 1 species
CAACCGUUGGAAACGACGGCUAAUCCCCAAUAAGCCGAGAGGUGAAACGGGUAUCCGCUAGAAGAGGAGCUCGCGUCCGAUUAGUUAGUUGGUGGGGUAAGAGCCUACCAAGGCAGCGAUCGGUAGCUGGUCUGAGAGGAUGAGCAGCCACACUGGGACUGAGACACGGCCCAGACUCCUACGGGAGGCAGCAGUGGGGAAUUUUCCGCAAUGGGCGAAAGCCUGACGGAGCAACGCCGCGUGUGGGAAGAAGGCUCUUGGGCUGUCAACCACUUUUCUCAGGGAAGAAGUCCUGACGGUACCUGAGGAAUCAGCCUCGGCUAACUCCGUGCCAGCAGCCGCGGUAAUACGGAGGAGGCAAGCGUUAUCCGGAAUUAUUGGGCGUAAAGCGUCCGCAGGGGGCGCAUCAAGUCUGCUGUUAAAGGUCGGAGCUAAACUCCGGUAGAGCAGUGGAAACUGGUGCGCUAGAGGGCGACAGGGGUAGAGGGAAUUCCCAGUGUAGCGGUGAAAUGCGUAGAGAUUGGGAAGAACACCGGUGGCGAAAGCGCUCUACUGGGUCGCACCUGA